UACAGAGGUCUCAAGCGUUGUUCGGAAUCACUGGGCGUAAAGGGUGCGUAGGCCGCACGGUAAGUCAGAGGUGAAAUCCCGGAGCUCAACUUCGGAAUUGCCUCCGAUACUGCCGUGCUUGAGGACUGGAGAGGAGAUUGGAAUUCACAAGUGGAGCAGUGAAAUGCGUAGAUAAUUGUGAGGAACACUAGUGGCGAAGGCGGGUAGCUGGGCCAA
rnacentral:rRNA from 1 species